rnacentral:lncRNA from 1 species
GGGGGAGGUGUUAUGAUAUUGUAAUUAUUGUAUUUAUUUAUGUUGGCCUGAUUUGUAUUGUGUGGCCUGAUAGUUGUUUACAGAAUAAUCUUAGAACUGUGCAGUUUAGAAAUCACUGGAACAAUUACAGAAUGAUUGGAACUUUCCAGAAUGAUCCUUAUAAAAGAUGCGUUAUAUAAACUUCUACAUUUUACUAGAAACUUCCGUUGUAACUUUCUAGUAUGUUCCAUUAUAGACUGUUCUAGAAUCUUCCAUGACAACUAUAUAUAUACAGAC